UUACAUUUUAUAUUUAUAUAUUUUUUAUAUUUUAUAUUUUUUCUUUCUCUAAAAUACUUUUUUUCUGCUUACAAUUAAAGCAAUGUACAGUAAGAGGAAAACAAGCCUGGGUUAAUUGAAGUAUGUGACAGCAUGUGUUUCAUUAAGCUAAAAUUAAUAAGCAAUAAAUCAUUGUACCUACAUUAAUUUUGUCAGUGUCUUUUUGAUAUACAUACAUAUUCUAAAAUGUUUUUAAUUACUCAACAGUUUGAUGCAAAUAGGGGUGUGAAAGAUUAAUAAGUAUCCAUUUGUGAGAGACAUUCCAGAGAGGAAAAUAUAUGCAAUGAUUAUUAUAUGGGUCAGAUACAGCUGUUCUUUUCACUAGAGACAUAAUUUUUUAUAAACGCUGCCAUAUGUACUGAUCUGAACUGCCACAAAAACUUUUCUUUCAGAAAGAAUCUCAAAAGGAAGUCUUCAUCUUGUGGCACUACUACAGAAAAUAUGCUGCCAAACAGGAUGUGUCUCACAGAAAUCCUCCUGGCAUCAGUAAGGAUGAUUUCCUCCAUCAAGGGGAAUUUAUCAAGGAUCUAGGAGUGCUUCUCAUGCUGUGUGAAAUGAAUUAGAAAUCAUCAGGAGGAAAGGAUGAAGCUCAGAGCCUGCACCAUCUUCAGGAAGAAACAUGUUCCCCUCUGGUAAAAAGAAGCUCUCCCCAUCCAAGUAGGUGAAAAAUUCACCUCCUUGAAAUGAAAAGUGAAUUCCAAUAUUUUCUCUCUUCCUUUAGCUGUCUUUUGUUUAUUGUAAGAUUCCCCACUGUAGUAGAGGAUGGGGA
rnacentral:lncRNA from 7 species